rnacentral:tRNA from 1 species
GACUCCUUAGCUCAGCUGGUUAGAGCUACUGACUCUUAAUCAGUAGGUCCAGGGUUCGAGUCCCUGAGGGGUCACCA